rnacentral:misc_RNA from 1 species
ACAAACUUGGUCAUUUAGAGGAAGUAAAAGUCGUAACAAGGUUUCCGUAGGUGAACCUGCGGAAGGAUCAUUAUUAUUUGGGUUGGGUUUACUUUUUCAAAAUUCUAUCGACCUUUUUAUUUUAAAAAGUAAACUUAUACCAAAUAAGUUUUUAUUGAAAACUUAUUUCUGUUCCCUAUUUAUAGGGAGGAGCAAGAUGAAUUUCUAUUUAAAACCACCCACUCUUUACAAAAUAUAUUCUAAUUAUAAAUAAAAAAGAUCACUUUCAACAACGGAUCUCUUGGCUCUCGCAUCGAUGAAGAACGCAGC